GCAACUCGAACUACUUCACAGUUCACAAAUAUACUGCAGAUACCAAACCCAAGAACUAUAAACAUCCCCAACACAAUAGAAGCACACUACCUUCAAAAUGAAGCUCCCUUUCUCAAAACUUCUUUAUAUACAUACAUAAACAACACUAAUUCUGAGUCUGAGUUCUUCCACAAAUUGUCUCUCUGGUCACAAGUCGUAUUCCCCUCACCCACAUCUCUGCACACACCAACCCACCUUCACACACAAAAUGAACCUCCUUGUUUUCCGUAGUCACUACCCGGAAAAUCCCUUCCUCCUCCGCUCCAUCGCCUUUCCCCUUACGGUUCUUCCUGAACCGCUGGCUCAUCCCGAUCUCUACUUCCUUGCACACCACAGUCCUCUUCCGUGACUUUCCCCAACUUAGUACUCCACUUGAUUCCAACAUUCUCAAUCCUUUCCCAUGCUUCUUUCCUUUCCCUCCCUUGGUGUGUUUCAUCACACUGCUUCCUUCUAUCACAAACCUCCGAGACAACUCAUUACGGAUCACCUUCUCCGCAUCACCAGUCGCGAGAUCCAGCAGCUUUUCCCCUCUUCCGUUCUUAGCAUUGCAGUUUGCGCCACAGGAGAUUAGGUAUUCACACAUAUGUCCAUGGCCCUCUCUGGCUGCAAGC